GAUGAACGCUAGCGGCAGGCUUAACACAUGCAAGUCGAGGGGUAGAGUUAGCUUGCUAACUUGAGACCGGCGCACGGGUGCGUAACGCGUAUGCAAUCUACCUUGUACAGAGGGAUAGCCCAGAGAGAUUUGGAUUAAUACCUCAUAGUAUUAUUGAAUGGCAUCAUUUGAUUAUUAAAGUUCCAACGGUACAAGAUGAGCAUGCGUCCCAUUAGCUAGAUGGUAAGGUAACGGCUUACCAUGGCAACGAUGGGUAGGGGUCCUGAGAGGGAGAUCCCCACACUGGUACUGAGACACGGACCAGACUCCUACGGGAGGCAGCAGUGAGGAAUAUUGGUCAAUGGGCGCAAGCCUGAACCAGCCAUGCCGCGUGCAGGAAGACGGUCCUAUGGAUUGUAAACUGCUUUUAUACGGGAAGAAACCCUGCUACGUGUAGCAGCUUGACGGUACCGUAAGAAUAAGCAUCGGCUAACUCCGUGCCAGCAGCCGCGGUAA
rnacentral:rRNA from 1 species